AGACCAAGAUAGCUCUUGAAAAGCAGAUAGCAGAGCAAGAAGAAGAAUUGACGAGAAUCAGAAAAGGUGUGAAACGGAAAGACGAGGAGAGACGAUUACUUGAGGAAACUUUGCAUGAUUCUAAAAAUAACUAUGAUGACCUAUACAAAGAGUUAACCAAUGUACGAGCAUACUAUGAGCGGUCUUUGGAACAAAUCAGCGUACUGGAGAACAACAAACAUUUGGCCAUACAACAGUUAGAACUGGCUGAACAUGAGAAAGAACGUCUCCGUGUGGAGAAUGACAGACUUAGAGAGCUGGCUGAAGGAAAAUCUCGUGAUUUGAAAAAUGAAAGACAACAAUUGGAGGAAGCCGUCCUUGACCUCAAG